CCCCUUGCAUUGUGUUGGCUCCACCUUUCCUCGGCUCCUCACCUCCGGGAAACGCACCAACGCAGCCGCACCAGAUCCGGUGCCUUCUUGCUUUCCUUGCACUUCCCCUUCUUCUUUAAUUACGAACCACUACGGACUUCCCAGCUUCGUAUUCUUAGUAGUUCGUCUAAUAGAUCUUCCAUCGGUGCACGAUGACUCCUCCCGCACUCGCGAGUCCACUCCGAAACAGACGCCACUGGCUGCGCACAGCCACCGGUGGGUGCUUAUUCCUUCCGCCUUCCGCCGCACGGCUCCUUCCGCAUGCCGUCGCUCGGCCGAUUCGAGAUGCAGAGACGUGAAGGACCAUGAACACAAGAGCGCAGAUGGCCAUGAAGAGCUUGAAGCAGCAUCGUCGCAAUCAGAAUGGUGGCCGACACAAGUUCAACCUUAACAGAUCUUGGACCAUGGCCAAGAUUGCUGCAUCAUAUGCUGGUCCAUCGCCGUGCCCGCUCGCGCCGGACCUGCAUCUGGACGAGCUACAUCCUGGAUCUGAGGUUGGGCAACCUCGGCGGGUGGUUCCUGGUUCAGGUACUGCGCGUACCCCUCCUUCCACUCAUAGAAUCUGCACUUCCCCAUUGGCGUGGUGAACAACAGUCAGGCGUUCCCCCGUUUGUACUUCCGUUGAUCCGGCCGGCCUCUGCUUUCUUCUCCAUCAACGCUGUCGUCCCAGCUUCUACCAACACAGGUUUUCCAUUAGCACGCCAUCAAUCGUUGCCUUGCUGGUGAGGCCUCCUUUCUCUAUGGGGUCGCGGUGAGCGGACACACAAGUACGCAUGGACGUCUGAAGCACAUAUCUAUGGAGUGAUGGUGAAGCGGGUCGAUGUGCUAGAUACAAUCUGUCCAUCUUCACUGGCCGUAGCACUCCUCCUGCCACGUUCAUCAGAUGAUCUGUCCACAAACGCGGAAUUGUCUCCAACAGUAGAGUCACCGACACCCCAUAUGUACUUCUGGUUAUGUUUCCAAAAAUGUCAUUUCGUCUCCAACAAUCAGUUCCCCCAAUGUAAUGCCCGUCAGACGAUCUGUCCAGAAACGCUGAUUCCUCGCCAACAUACUGAUGUACUACUGGUUUCUCUUCUUGAAAUUGGAUGAUAAAUAAUGCCUGAGCCAAUCCUGUAGACCAUGUUGAUCAGCCAUCCCAAUUUCGUUCUCAGGAAGCCAAUCUCUACAGAUGCAGACGAGUUAAAUUACCAUAAUUUCUAAUUUUAGCUAUUGAAUGAGAUGCAUAUGCCUGAGCCUGCCCUCCGAGUUGGCCUCCAGCGUUUUGCAUAGCUCAACAGAAUCCACCUCUAGGAAGAUGGCGAAUUGGGAAUGGUAUUUCUUUCGUGGAUUAUGUCCUAUGGGCUAGCUGGAGCUAGCUAAUACUGGGAUUUCUCAAAUUAAUAUCAGGGUGCAGGAUCUGUUGUACGAGUCAUGCAACCCAACCGAAGAAAUAGAUAAUAACUAUAUUCAAUUGUCGAGUGAGAGUUUCUUCCUAAGUUUUGCGAAAAUGUAAAUAUUUAACUGGUGUUGGUCUUAGUUAUGUUCUUGGCCAAUGCAAUAUUUAACAGUCCCCAUUCAGAGAACUAUUCUAUUUUACAUUACAAAAUAAUUGUGUUUCGUGGACAAGCAUGGAUGCAGUCUGGCAUCCCGUAGGUUCGACAACAUUUUUACUUUGUCAAGUUUCCUAAGAAUUUUAGUGACUCACUUUAAUUAACAGUUUUUAAUCCCCA